AUGGCCGACGCUGGUCUAAGUGUAGCAUCUGUUCUUAUCAGCUAGCUAAAUAUCUGAUACGGGUGCUUUUAAGACCCAAGAUAUUAAACCUACUUUUGCAAUUUGGCGGAGUGCUUGAAGCCUGCCUCACCGCCGCCGCGGGUCGGCCCGGUGUUGCACAUUCUUCGGGAUGGUCCCACAGUUC